GCCAGGUGCGGUGCCACACGCCUGUAAUCCCAGCACCUUGGGAGGCUGAGGCAGGAGGACCCUGAGUUCAAAGCCAGCCUUAGCCACUUAGUGAGGCUCUAAGCAACUCAGUGGGACCCUGUCUCUA
rnacentral:sRNA from 1 species